rnacentral:rRNA from 1 species
GCCGCCCUCUUUCUUCGUGCUUAACACAUGCAAGUCGAACGGAAAGGCCCUGCUUUUGUGGGGUGCUCGAGUGGCGAACGGGUGAGUAACACGUGAGUAACCUGCCCUUGACUUUGGGAUAACUUCAGGAAACUGGGGCUAAUACCGGAUAGGAGCUCCUGCUGCAUGGUGGGGGUUGGAAAGUUUCGGCGGUUGGGGAUGGACUCGCGGCUUAUCAGCUUGUUGGUGGGGUAGUGGCUUACCAAGGCUUUGACGGGUAGCCGGCCUGAGAGGGUGACCGGCCACAUUGGGACUGAGAUACGGCCCAGACUCCUACGGGAGGCAGCAGUGGGGAAUAUUGCACAAUGGGCGGAAGCCUGAUGCAGCAACGCCGCGUGCGGGAUGACGGCCUUCGGGUUGUAAACCGCUUUCGCCUGUGACGAAGCGUGAGUGACGGUAAUGGGUAAAGAAGCACCGGCUAACUACGUG